CAACGAGGGGCUCAUUUUAAAAUUUUGUCUCUGGGCCCACUCCAGCCUUGUUACACCCCUGACACUCAGCAUUGGCCAGAUAGUCAAAUAGUGCUAGGAAGGAGGAUGGACAUCUAAUGGAGCAUGUGAACUGGCACGAACGUCCUUCUAACUACAGACCAGAGAAUUGUUAGAGCAGCUGCAAAGAGGACUGACUGCUCAGGAUACAAUGCUGCACUCAGAUCUGCCACGGCCCUGUGUGGAAUCCCUACCUCCAGGUACCCUGUAUUAGCUGCUGCCAAUGAGUUCUCUACAUCCUUGCCAUAAGGUCAAUGUGAUAAUAGCAUUAUCACAUUGUGAACUUACCUGCUUCCAGGCAAUGGCAAGGAGCAAAGCUAAUCAGCUAAGAGUUCAUUAUUCAGAAAGAAGGAAAUGAAUCUCUACUAGGAUUAAAGGACUAGGACAAUCCAGGAUCUCUCAUUAGAAAAUGGGCAUGACAGAAAGACAUUGAAGCACAACAAUUUACAGAAAGAAGCUUCAUCCUCUUAACCCUUUGUGGUUAUUUUCCUUUGCUUAAAUAAAAUUAAAACUAGUUCCUAGUCACAGGACAACUAGUCAGAGUUGUUUAAGAUAAUCAUUUGCUGCUCUCCUUCCUCAACGUUGCUAGGGUCAGUUUCAGUUGGUUUCCCUUGAGGAAGUAGGCAAGGUUGCUUGAUAUGAUUUGGUCCAUAACUUAUGUGUGUCAGCCUUGCUCCUCUAAGUUUAUUAAAGCUUGCAGUAGAAGAUUUGUGCCUUGCAUUAUUUAUUGCCAUCAUCAAUGCCUCUUUGGUGGAAAGUUGCAUGCCCUUUGAUGGAGAUUGUAAUUUAGUCUCCAUUAAAAAAACACUUUAGGAUGCAGAGGACUAAAAUGAUUAUCUGCCCAUCUACAGCAUUCCAUUUGGGGGUAUAACACUGCUUUCUGGUUUUAUUCAAUUAUCUGUAUCUAGAAGGUGACAGACAAAUGUAACCCAGUUGAUUCUUCUGGCUUUUGAUACAGACCAUCAAAUCAACCUAAGACCAUCAAACCAACCUAAACUGGAUCAGCACUAGAGGCAAGUUAUUGUAAUCCUACUGUAUUAUCCCAGUACUACUGUAAUCCAACUGUAAUUCCAUUUCUGUCCAACAGUUGGUGUCAGAAGGUAGUACUUGAUGACUGUUUCCCCACUCCUUGGCAGUGUUGCAGGAUUCCAUCUUGUCCCCAAUAUUUUUCAACAUCUAUAUGAUGUUGAAAUGCAAGAGCCCCGCCGCACGUUAAGGUCAACUGAGGAGGUCCGUCUCCAGUUACCACCAGUUCGUCUGGACUCAUAGGCAGGCCUUCUCAGUAGUUGCUCCUGGGCUAUGGAAUGCACUCCCGACAGAAAUCCAUAAUUUG